GGUGGGGUAGCUUAAUGGUAGAGCAUUUGAAUCAUAAUCAAAUAAGUGUAGGUUCAAUUCCUAUCCCCAUCA
rnacentral:tRNA from 1 species